CAUGCAAGUCGAACGAGAGUGCUUGCACUCUAGUGGCGAACGGGUGAGUANCACGGUAUCUAAUUUGCCUUUUUGAGGGGAAUAACCGUUGGAAACGACGGCUAAUACCGCAUAGGUUAUCGUUAGGCAUCUAAUGAUAAUUAAAGGUGCGCAUUUGCACUACANAAAGAUAAGGAUGCGCUGCAUUAGUUAGUUGGUAAGGUAAUGGCUUACCAAGACGAUGAUGCAUANCCGACCUGAGAGGGUGAACGGCCACACUGGGAUUGAGACACGGCCCAGACUCCUACGGGAGGCAGCAGUAGGGAAUUUUUCACAAUGGGCGAAAGCCUGAUGGAGCAAUGCCGCGUGACUGAUGAAGGCCUUCGGNUUGUAAAGGUCUGUUGUAAGGAAAGAAUAGUAAGAAUAGGAAAUGAUUCUUAUUUGACGGUACUUUACCAGAAAGCCACGGCAAACUAUGUGCCAGCAGCCGCGGUAAUACAUAGGUGGCAAGCGUUAUCCGGAUUUAUUGGGCGUAAAGGGUGCGUAGGCGGUAAUAUAAGUCUAAGGUUAAAGAUCGAAGCUCAACUUCGAUUUGCCUUGGAAACUGUAUAACUAGAGUACAGGAGAGGUUAGUGGAAUUCCAUGUGUAGCGGUGAAAUGCGUAGAUAUAUGGAGGAACACCAGUGGCGAAGGCGACUAACUGGCCUGUAACUGACGCUGAGGCACGAAAGCAGGAGUAUCAAAUAGGAUUAGAUACCCUAGUAGUUCCUGCCGUAAACGAUGAGNACUAAGUGUCGGCUUUAAUGUCGGUGCUGUAGCUAACGCAUUAAGUACUCCGCCUGAGUAGNAUGCUCGCAAGAGUGAAACUCAAAGGAAUUGACGGGGGCCCGCACAAGCGGUGGAUCAUGUGGUUUAAUUCGAAGCAACGCGAAGAACCUUACCCAGACNUGACAUCCAGUGCAAUGCUAUAGAAAUAUAGUGGAGGUUAACACUGAGACAGGUGGNGCAUGGUUGUCGUCAGCUCGNGUCGUGANAUGUUGGGUUAAGUCCCGCAACGAGCGCAACCCUUAUCAUUAGUUGCUAACAUUUAGNUGAGGACUCUAAUGAGACUGCUAGUGCAAGCUAGAGGAAGGUGGGGAUGACGUCAAAUCAUCAUGCCCCUUAUGUCUGGGGCUACACACGCUGAUACAAUGGUCGGUACAAAGAGUCGCAAACUCGCAAGGGCAAGCUAAUCUCAAAAAGCCGAUCUCAGUUCGGAUUGAAGUCUGCAACUCGACUCCAUGAAGUUGAAAUCGCUAGUAAUCGCGGAUCAGCAAUGCCGCGGUGAAUACGUUCUCGGGUCUUGUACACACCGNCCCGUCACACCAUGGGAGUGGGUUGCAAAAGAAGUAGGUAGCUUAACCUUCGGGAGGGCGCUUACCACUUUGUGAUUCAUGACUGGGGUGAAGUCGUAACAAGGUAACC
rnacentral:rRNA from 1 species